UGGAGAUCCUGCUCCGUCGCCCCAGUGUUCAGACUACCUGUUCAGGACAAUGCUGUUGUACAGUAGUCUGCACAUUGGUUAGACUGGGCAAGGGAAAGCA
rnacentral:pre_miRNA from 14 species